rnacentral:rRNA from 1 species
UGCUAUAAUGCAAGUCGAGCGGACAGAUGGGAGCUUGCUCCCUGAUGUCAGCGGCGGACGGGUGAGUAACACGUGGGUAACCUGCCUGUAAGACUGGGAUAACUCCGGGAAACCGGGGCUAAUACCGGAUGCUUGAUUGAACCGCAUGGUUCAAUUGUAAAAGGUGGCUUUUAGCUACCACUUACAAAUGGACCCGCGGCGCAUUAGCUAGUUGGUGAGGUAACGGCUCACCAAGGCGACGAUGCGUAGCCGACCUGAGAGGGUGAUCGGCCACACUGGGACUGAGACACGGCCCAGACUCCUACGGGAGGCAGCAGUAGGGAAUCUUCCGCAAUGGACGAAAGUCUGACGGAGCAACGCCGCGUGAGUGAUGAAGGUUUUCGGAUCGUAAAACUCUGUUGUUAGGGAAGAACAAGUACCGUUCGAAUAGGGCGGUACCUUGACGGUACCUAACCAGAAAGCCACGGCUAACUACGUGCCAGCAGCCGCGGUAAUACGUAGGUGGCAAGCGUUGUCCGGAAUUAUUGGGCGUAAAGCGCGCGCAGGCGGUUUCUUAAGUCUGAUGUGAAAGCCCCCGGCUCAAUCGGGGAGGGUCAUUGGAAACUGGGGAACUUGAGUGCAGAAGAGGAGAGUGGAAUUCCACGUGUAGCGGUGAAAUGCGUAGAGAUGUGGAGGAACACCAGUGGCGAAGGCGACUCUCUGGUCUGUAACUGACGCUGAGGCGCGAAAGCGU